rnacentral:rRNA from 1 species
GUAGGUGGCAAGCGUUGUCCGGAAUUAUUGGGCGUAAAGCGCGCGCAGGCGGGUUCUUUAAGUCUGAUGUGAAAGCCCACGGGCUCAACCGUGGAGGGUCAUUGGAAACUGGAGAACUUGAGUACAGAAGAGGAAAGCGGAAUUCCACGUGUAGCGGUGAAAUGCGUAGAGAUGUGGAGGAACACCAGUGGCGAAGGCGGCUUUCUGGUCUGUAACUGACGCUGAGGCGCGAAAGCGUGGGGAGCAAACAGGAUUAGAUACCCUGGUAGUCCACGCCGUAAACGACGAGUGCUAAGUGUUAGGGGGUUUCCGCCCCUUAGUGCUGCAGCUAACGCAUUAAGCACUCCGCCUGGGGAGUACGGCCGCAAAGGCUG